GACGAACCGUGCGAACGUUGUUCGGAAUCACUGGGCUUAAAGGGCGCGUAGGCGGGCCCGCAAGUCAGGGGUGAAAUCCCACGGCUCAACCGUGGAAAUGCCUUUGAUACUGCGGGCCUCGAGGGAGGUAGGGGCGUGCGGAACUUCCGGUGGAGCGGUGAAAUGCGUAGAUAUCGGAAGGAACACCGGUGGCGAAAGCGGCGCGCUGGACCUCUUCUGACGCUGAGGCGCGAAAGCCAGGGGAGCAAACAGG
rnacentral:rRNA from 1 species